AAACAAGUUUGGGCCGGUUUCUUCUCUCAUGAGGAUCUGCUCAGGGGCUGAAGGAAGGAGAAGGAAGUCAGCUUGGCGGGGAUGAAAGUUGGCCAUGCCCAUACCCUGCACUUCAGUAGUUUUCCAGCACUCUGUAAAGCUCAGUUCAGUGGCUUUCCUCUGCCUGUGAUGGUGGAACAGGUUUUUUUUGCAGUUUUGAUUAUAAAAAAAACAAACGGCACAAAUUAAAAAACAAAGACAGUGCGAUGGAGCAAAAAUCCCAAUCUGGGCACACCCUCUCAUCAGGGAGAGUAAAUAAACAGCUUUUCUCUAUUUUCAGCUCUCAUUCUUCAGAUUUGAACUCCACCCAUUGUACCAGUCACCCCCAAAAGAAUCAGCAGGUCUCCUGGCAAAUGUAUAAAACCAGAACAAGUCACGACACUAUCACAGUGUGCUAUACAUCACCAGGUGCUCAAUUUUAUCAAAGGAGAGGACUUCAACAGGUGUCAGAAGCCACAAUGUCGGGUAAAAGCUUCCAGGGACUGAAGGAACAAGCUGAAGGUGCAGCAAAAGAUGCUGCAAACACACUGGGACAGGCCACUCAGGAUGCAGUCAACCAGAUUACAGAUGCAAGCCAGAAAGCUUUUGACAAGGCUUCCAAGACAGCACAAGAUGGAGUAGAAAAAGUGGCUGGACAGGCUGCAGAAGCAAUGUCUGGCUUUGGGAAAAAAUGUGGAUUUAAAAAAUGAUGCUAAUUCAAGUCAACAGUACUGCUUGUAUAAAUCUCUCUUUGGUCUGCUAUUACCUACUUUUUUUGUGUAGUAAAAUGAAAGCUGUUUGAUAUCUGGAUAAUUCUGUUCUCUUCAAAUAUAAAUUUUUAAGGCAGAAGGUCUUCCUCAUCCUUUACAUAGAAAAUUUACAUCAUUUAGCACGUCUGCUCACAAUUGUCGACAUGGCUGAAAAGGUUUCAGCAAUGCUGUUGCCCUGCUCUUACAACAGCUCAGUGAUUAUUGCCACAUUUGCUGAGUGUAUUUACAAAGCCAGUGAAACUGCUCAUAAUUAGGACACCAGAACAGUCAUGUGAUGAAACUGAGUCUUCUUCCAAUAAUCAAAAAUUAAACUGGGGUUAUAUUUCUUGUCAGUUGUUUCUUUGUUCCCAUCCUUUGCACUUUUACAUUAAGAUAAAUAAAGGUACUGUAAGAUUUCCCCUACUCA
rnacentral:lncRNA from 1 species